UAAGACGAACCGUACGAACGUUAUUCGGAAUUACUGGGCUUAAAGGGUGCGUAGGCUGCACGGAAAGUUGGGUGUGAAAGCCCUCAGCUCAACUGAGGAAUUGCAUCCAAAACUGCCGUGCUUGAGGGAGACAGAGGUGAGCGGAACUCAAGGUGGAGCGGUGAAAUGCGUUGAUAUCUUGAGGAACACCGGUGGCGAAGGCGGCUCACUGGGUCUCUUCUGACGCUGAGGCACGAAAGCUAAGGUAGCAAACGGGAUUAGAUACCCCGGUAGUCUUAGCUGUAAACGAUGAGCACUUGAUUGGAGGGUCCUCCAUAGCCUUCCAGUCGUAGCGAAAGUGUUAAGUGCUCCGCCUGGGGAGUAUGGUCGCAAGGCUG
rnacentral:rRNA from 1 species